UUGCAUGUAGUUUUCUCAAUCCAUGAGUUUACCAGUUUUACCCUUCCAAAUCUCUCCCUUAUCCCAUGGAGGGGGAGUGAGUGAGUGUGUGGGGCUUAGUUGCUGGCUGGAUUAAAACCACAACAGUUCUCCAGACAGUGCAUGUGAAACAGGCUGAGGCAUUUCUGUAUGGUGCUUGUAAGACCGAUCAAGAACUUGAAAAUGCUUUCCAUUCUUCACUUUCUUGCUUGCUCUCUCCAGCUGUUUCAUUUCUCUUGUCUAAGAAAUUUGGGAGUCUGCAGGGCUUUUUGCACAGCCACAAACCCAAGAAGCUGCUGAGGACCAAGUCACCUCCUCUUGUAUCUACAAACUGCACAGGAAGACCCAUGUCCGAUGCCAAGCUGCAGCAGCGAUGUCAGGACACCUCCAGAGAAAGGUGAUAAAACCAUCUGCUCUUCCCAGGGUGAGCACUCCGUGCCUGGCCCAAGGCUCCUCCUGCAAGUGGCUAUCCCAUUCCACCAGUCCUGGCUAUGUCUCAACUGCAGGCUGCAGGUGUGGAAGAGCCGGUGCAUGCAGGAGUCUCCAGUGCCCUGGACACAUGGAUGGGGAUCAAAGGCCAGAACUGUUUUCAAACUCAAUUAAACCCAGAAACUCAGCAUGCCCCAGAACAUCAAGACUAAGGAGGAGUGUGUGAAAACAAGGGAAAAAGGACAUUUGAAAGUCACACCAGAACUGAAGAUUCUGCAAUAAGUGCCAGUGGCGCUGGAGAAAGCAGUGACACUUACAGAAUAUCCCUAAAUACAGGCAAGACUAAGAGAAAGAGCCAACACUGGGAGCAAGAGGAAAAGAGCCUUCUUGAACAAAGGUAGAGGCAGAUCUGGGCGAGCCAGCUGGAAAAAAACUCUAGUUCUUUUAGGUGAUUAUUCACAUGAGCAUCAUUCAUGAGUUCACACAUUCAGCGUGACUGAGGAGUACUGCAGCUAAAGAGGAGGCAUGUGUACACAGUCAUUUUUAAUCAGAUGCAGCUACUUGAUGUAUCAUGUCUGAUAACUGACCACAGAAUUAUGACUGCAAGUUCAGACAUGUAACUGCUCAUUCCUCAACUUCUGGGAAAGAGUGACCUGAGACAUGAAAUCUAUGAGGGCAGAUGCAGAGUCAAACUCUAAUUUAAAUUUAUUACUAGAUGGCACUGGCACCACAAGAGCUGUUAACCUCUGUUGCUGCUGUUCAAGAGAAAACUAAAAGCAAGCCUGCUCAACUUGCUGCAGGCUGAAGUUCCAGUCACUGGGAUUUACAGAUUUGCAGAGGCAGACCCUCUGGGUCUUCUCUUUUGGCUGCAAGAAGUGGCCUCUCCAUUAAUGUGCUGGGGGAAUUCCACUUUACACCAAACAUUCCUUGUGGCAUCUUUAGGAGAGCUCAGCUGGGCUGGGAGCUGCUCAGAUGGAAAUAUGACACUGACAGGCACCACUUUCGAGGGUGAGGAUAUGUGGGCAGGGUUAUCCACGAAAAGAGAAUAAAACCUUAGAAGUUGUGGGAAAGAGCUGAGAGUUGCUUUUCAUGAUGUCUCAUGAGGUGGAUUUCAUAACUUGUGUUGCUCCGUGGAAGUUAAGAGCCCAGCUGCAGACUGUGUCCAGUUCAAGCUCAGCCAGGGGAGAGGGUGGCUGGGACAUCGUAUCCUUGUCACUCCGAUCUCAUGGAGUUGGAGAGCAGGACAGAGCGAGCUGUAUGGGCUGCUGCUGGAAGCUUGGAUGCAGUCCCUUUCCAGGGCAGUGGGAGAAGUCUGUGAUAAGUGCAUUUUCACAGUUGACAGCAGCUCAAAUCAAAUUUCACCACCCUUUUACCUUGAGCGAUUUAGUCAUCCUAAAGUGUUGUGCUAACACAGCCUGCUGCCAACAGGCAGCUCCUCCUCCCUUUUCCCAGGGGGGAGAACACACAUUACAGCCACUGGUCCUUACAUUCCCCUCAAAAUGCUCAUUUCUCCACCAUGUCUGGAUCUAUUAAAAAAUGCCAUUUUCAUGAAUGCAGCACUACAGCAGCGAGGGAACAGGGAUGGAUGGGGUUGGACACAAGGGCUCCAAAAGAGACUUCAGGAGAGCAUGAUGGGGCUGGGCCCCAGCUCCAGGAAGGGAUGAAAUGCCAGCCUGGCUGGCCAACAGAGCUCUCAGCACUUGGCCCCUUCUUCCUGCUCCUCCACCAGGGAUGUGGGGUGGGAAGCUACAGUUUUGGAGGCAGGAGACUGCUGUGUCUGCAGCUUGUGGAGGUUGUACCUGAUGUAAGAGCUCCCUGGGGCAGCUCCAGUUGAGCAAUGACUGCAGAGAGCCCUCUGUGACCACAGGUAUGUCAGAGUAACUGCAGGAGGUAGUUUUACAUCAUCUGUGGGUCUGGCCCAACUUAUUUAACAGGUUUCUAAAAUAUUCCAUGUCUACACAGCAAGUAAUAAAAGUGACUAACUUCUAUUUCUUUCACAGGGUGAGCUUAAACAAGGUUGGCAAGGGGUUUUACAGGUGUCAAAUUGCUUCUGUGCACUCAUACAUAAGUGUCAGGUAUAACAAUAAUUGUUUGAGUUGGUUUUUUAUUUUUACACAGUCAUAAAGUUGUAACUUAUUGCACAGCAGUCCUUUCUUCCAGGGCAUCUCACAGUGCUGGCUAUGCUCCUAGGGAGAGAGAAAGAAGGCUUUAAAAUAUUUGUUUCCAAUUUAUUUGCAAAACCUGUCUGAAAAUACAUGACAUUUCACUAAGGAUUUUUGAAUCACUAGAAUAUGGAGUAAAAUCUAGCGGGAUAUUUCUUACACUUAAAUCAAGACAUUCUUUCAAAAAACCCCAUCCAGUCUGUGAAUUUGUGGGAAAAGAAAAUCUGAAAGUGAGCUUCGUAGCUUAUUUCAGUUCUUAGCAGGACCAUUUUCAGGGGUAGAAGGGUGAAUUUCCUUUUGACUCCAUGCCUCAAUCAGCUUCUCACAGAGUGCAUUUGUAAAGAUCAUGAGAGUUUUCAUAAAACAAGAGGGAUAAAUGGCAUUGAAAUGUUCUCCAGUUCAUAGGUCCUAAGGCUAGAUUUACACAUCAGCAUCUGAGAAAGGGGAGGAGUGGACUGUGGAGAUAUUCACCAGCCUUGCAUUAUCAUUGGCUUUGGAGUGGAGAUUGAACCUGAUAAUCCUGUAUUGCGUGUUGUGUGGGGUGCCUGGUGUCAUCAGGUGCUCCUGGUUUAUUUCCUAAUAAAUCUUGUCACAUAACUGUUCUUUGCAACCGUGUCUUGGCAUAGCCACUGGGGCUUGUUGGCUGACAGAAAAGGAGGCUUAAAAGGGCUUGGAGGACAAGGCUCUGUAAAGAAACACACUCAGAUUUUCCUCAUGAAAGUUUCUGUCAUCUGCUGCAUGGGCUAGUCUGUGCAACCCACCUGUCCUCCCUCAGAAGUUGGACAUCCAGGGUGAGUGGUCUCCUUUAAAUGAGUAUGGUGAGACAUUCCAAGACCAGAUUAAACUGCUUCCCAAGCCUAAAGGGCUGCAUAGGAAGGACCUCAGAUAUAUCUCUUACCUGUGAAGGCUGCCCAUAACACCCUGUUCUGUUUUCAGAGAU